rnacentral:lncRNA from 1 species
GCCUAUCUGCAUGCUUUCCAUUUGCCAAUAUAUACCUCAAAUACAAUAUUACCACCAUUUCAUUACUGAAGCUCUCUUCUCCUUGGACCUUUUCCUCAUUUCUCUCCAACAAACCUCUUGUGCACUUUAAACACUACAUGUUGUGGCUUUAAACUAUUUCACCACAUAGACCAGUUGUUUUAAGGCCCUUUUGUGGAUGACUAAUACUAAAAAUAUUACAUGUUGUGCAUUGUAAACAUACAAUGUGUGUGUAACUGUUUUCCAGUUAAACUAUCUUGCUACAAACAAGGUUUCGCUUUUUCCCUAACUUCUUGACGAAUUUAGAAAUUCGCUCUCUGAGCUAAAUUUUACCUAUGUAGUCUAGAUGCUUAAACAAGUGCAUUUGGUCAAACCAGACUACCUAGCCAAACAUAUAUAUUUCCCGUCAUAAAUUAGGCUUUUGGUUUAAAGUACAUAUCUAGAAAGUGCUUUGUGGGAUGGUUUGUCGAUCAUUGUCACUUCUUUUUAAUAAUUGACUGUUUUUUUUACAUCAGAAGUUUAACAAAAGAACUGGAGUUAAUGCGAUGUGAUAGUCGUCGAUGUAAAGAGGAACUCAACAAGACAGAGCUGAGAACUCGGGAGCUGGAGAAGAUGCUUAAAGGAAAAGAUUGGAUGAUUUCUGAUUUGGAAAACACUAAUAAGUUUUAGGUCACAGAUCUCGAAGCACAACUGGAAUAUAUGAGGAGAAUGGGAGACAACUUACAGGAGGAUUUAUAAGAAAACAUGCCGAAUUGGAUCGCUUUGCUCAGGAAAAAGAAGAAAUGUUGGCCAACGCUAAACAAGCUAAAUCAAUCAAUCGCAGACUGAAAGAGCAAGAUGGACCAACAGAACCAGGAAUUUUCCAGAUUAACUGUAGCAAAGGAUGUUGAAUGGGAAACGUUGCACCAACAGGGGGAUCAGAUGAGAUCUGAACUCGCGCAAAGAAAAAAAUAAUCUUGAGAGGCUCACCGUAUGAGGUGAUUUUUCACGGGGCUUAAACAUAUCUGGAGGCAGAAAGAGUUGUCUUUAUCUUUGGAGAGAGAGUCGUCGUUGGAACGUUCUAGGGCUCAGCUAGAGUUAGAUUAGCAGCGCAGAUAUGAAUAGGAAGAAAGAACUGGGUAUGAUAAACAAGAAGAACUAGUUAAGAAUUUAACACAAGGCAAAGAAGAGGCGUUAUCGUUGGUGUAACAACAGAAACGUGAACUGCUUCACAAGGAUAGUGUUAUCCAUAUUUUGAAGACACAAAGAGAUGAAUCAGUUUCUAUCCUCAAGCUUCAUGGACUAACCGUGCCUUCCCAAAUAUCAGUCGAAGAUGUUGCACCAGCAGCGAAUAUGAAUAAUGAAGAACUUCAAGUUCAGAACGAAAAUUUGCGUCAUGUUAUUCAUCAAAUGAUAGAGGAUUUGGAGGAUUUGACGAAACAGUUGACUCAACGUACCACUGGAUCGAUUACUAAUGCAGGAGAUGGCGUACCAAUCAGAGAAGAAUAUGUGACAAGUCUGGAAAAAGAAAUUCGAGAAGUGAAGGCGAGAAACCGCGAACUGACCCAAUCCAUGGCUAAUACAAAUGCUAAAACUGAAAAUACUGAGCCAACUUACGUUUUAGAUUGAAGUAGUUUACGCCAAGAGAAAUUUGAUCUUACAUCUCAAUUAAGAAAAUGUGAAGCAACUAUCCUUCAUCUUCAAGGUUCGUCAGAAGCAACAAAACAUUGACCAACUUCACUAUCAGUUGGCAACAGAGAAUCGUCGGGCCAACGAAGAAAUAAAUUGGCUUUGAAACAGCAAAACUCUGAUCUCAAGCUGCAGGUAACCCAAGCAAGACACCAGGCUGACGAAUUUUACAAAACGGGUUUGGAGAGAAAUAUUGAUGCUGUAUCAUUAGGAAACCAGAAAUCGCUGAUAUGAAUUAAGGGAGUAGUAUCGUCAGCUGAAGGAUUACACACAAAACUACGUCAAGCUGCUCAACGGAUUAAUGGAUUAACAAAAGAACGCGAACAGUUGAUUAAAAUGGGAAAUAAGCUGAGAGCUAAAUUGUUGAAAUUUAAAGGAGAAAGAAAAUCACCUUCAAUUGAAGCAAGUCAAUCAUUCAAAGAUCCGCAGAAUGUGGCGCAAACAUCCCGAUCCCAACUACGGGGUUUGGAACAAUUGCAAUAUCAACUAACAAGCAAAGAACUGCGGUAUGCACAGAGAACACUAGCGAGGAAUAAUGAUCAGCAUUCGCUAUCUCCUCGGAAAAAUAAUUCCGCGUCGGCCGAAACACUUCAAAAACACUCCCAAAAGGCGGAACUCACAGAAAAUGCAGGCUUACCAGAAACGUCUACUGGGCGUGACGACAUCGUCUCACUAUGGCAACCUUCGUUCUCAUCACACGACCGCGCGUCAUUACAAGUUGUCUGGAAACUACUAGACGAGGACAGUCCUGGAUUCACCCCUCGCGGAAAUGGCGGGGACGAAGUCGGCAAGUCUCAGCUUCGGGAAAGUUCCUCAACUACGGACAGUUUCACGGUCAAAGGUCAGCCUAGUCACGUGCAUCUCAAGCCAGAGAGUUCCAAGGCUGCGCAGUCUGUCAAGGCAGCUGGUAAAUGGACACCCUCCCAGGUAAAAGCGAAGAUAAUUAAGAAAUUAUAAUAUAAGAGACGAAGAUAUUCGUGAGGGAUUGUAGAUAUUUUUAUUCACCUAUCAUUUUGUUUUUAACCAGACCCGUCAUUCAUAGCAGGUGGAGGCUGUGCUGGGAAUGCCGUUAGAGCUAUGUUAAACCAACACAAUCA